CCUACGGGUGGCAGCAGUGGGGAAUAUUGCGCAAUGGGCGCAACCCUGACCCAGCAACGCCGCGUGGAGGAAGAAGGCUUUCGGGUUGUAAACUUCUUUUCUGAGGGACGAAGAAAGUGACGGUACCUCAGGAAUAAGCCACGGCUAACUACGUGCCAGCAGCCGCGGUAAUACGUAGGUGGCAAGCGUUAUCCGGCUUUAUUGGGUGUAAAGGGCGUGUAGGCGGGGAAGCAAGUCAGAUGUGAAAACUCAGGGCUCAACCCUGAGCCUGCAUUUGAAACUGUUAUUCUAGAGUGCUGGAGAGGCAAGCGGAAUUCCGUGUGUAGCGGUGAAAUGCGUAGAUAUACGGAGGAACACCAGUUGCGAAGGCGGAUUGCUGGACAGUAACUGACGCUGAGGCGCGAAAGCGUGGGGAGCAAACAGGAUUAGAUACCCCGGUAGUC
rnacentral:rRNA from 1 species